rnacentral:rRNA from 1 species
AUUGAACGCUGGCGGCAGGCCUAACACAUGCAAGUCGAACGGUAACAGGGAUCAGCUUGCUGAUUCGCUGACGAGUGGCGGACGGGUGAGUAAUGUCUGGGAAACUGCCUGAUGGAGGGGGAUAACUACUGGAAACGGUAGCUAAUACCGCAUAACGUCGCAAGACCAAAGAGGGGGACCUUCGGGCCUCUUGCCAUCGGAUGUGCCCAGAUGGGAUUAGCUAGUAGGUGGGGUAACGGCUCACCUAGGCGACGAUCCCUAGCUGGUCUGAGAGGAUGACCAGCCACACUGGAACUGAGACACGGUCCAGACUCCUACGGGAGGCAGCAGUGGGGAAUAUUGCACAAUGGGCGCAAGCCUGAUGCAGCCAUGCCGCGUGUAUGAAGAAGGCCUUCGGGUUGUAAAGUACUUUCGGCGGGGAGGAAGGGAGUAAAGUUAAUACCUUUGCUCAUUGACGUUACCCGCAGAAGAAACACCGGCUAACUCCGU